AGUCCGUGGUGCAGGCAAUAUCGGAGAAAAUCUUUGUACCUCUCACAAGCAUCGUACAUGCUCUCAUCAUCGAACUGAACAAAAGAAGAUAUAUCAUUUCUCAAUUU